rnacentral:rRNA from 1 species
AGAUUGAACGCUGGCGGCGUGCCUAACACAUGCAAGUCGAGCGGUAACAGGUGUAGCAAUACAUGCUGACGAGCGGCGAACGGGUGAGUAAUGCUUUGGAAUCUUCCCAGUAGUGGGGAAUAACCAGUCGAAAGAUUGGCUAAUACCGCAUACGUCUGUAAAGGGAAAGCGGGGGCUCGUAAGACCUCGCGCUAUUGGAUGAGCCAAAGUCGGAUUAGCUAGUUGGUGGGGUAAUGGCCUACCAAGGCGACAAUCCGUAGCUGGUCUGAGAGGACGACCAGCCACACCGGAACUGAGACACGGUCCGGACUCCUACGGGAGGCAGCAGUGGGGAAUAUUGGACAAUGGGGGAAACCCUGAUCCAGCGACGCCGCGUGUGUGAAGAAGGCCUGCGGGUUGUAAAGCACUUUUAGUGGGGACAAAAAGCUACGGAUUAAUACUCUGUGGUCUUGAUUUAACCCAAAGAAAAGCACCGGCUAACUCUGCGCCAGCAGCCGCGGUAA